UUUUUCCAAAAAGGGGGAAAAAAAAAAAAAAAAAAAAAAAAAUUAACUCUGCUGUUCAUUUCCAUCACGUGACAGAACAAAUUUCACUGCAUUUGAUAUAGUGACAAAGUAUAAAACCAUGGAACAA
rnacentral:ribozyme from 1 species